ACCAGACUCCUACGGGAGGCAGCAGUGGGGGAUAUUGCACAAUGGGGGGAACCCUGAUGCAGCGACGCCGCGUGGGUGAAGAAGCGCCUCGGCGCGUAAAGCCCUGUCAGCAGGGAAGAAAAUGACGGUACCUGAAGAAGAAGCCCCGGCUAACUACGUGCCAGCAGCCGCGGUAAUACGUAGGGGGCAAGCGUUAUCCGGAUUUACUGGGUGUAAAGGGGGCGCAGACGGCGAUGCAAGCCAGGAGUGAAAGCCCGGGGCCCAACCCCGGGACUGCUCUUGGAACUGCGUGGCUGGAGUGCAGGAGGGGCAGGCGGAAUUCCUGGUGUAGCGGUGAAAUGCGUAGAUAUCAGGAGGAACACCGGUGGCGAAGGCGGCCUGCUGGACUGCAACUGACGUUGAGGCCCGAAAGCGUGGGGAGCAAACAGGAUUAGAUACCCGAGUAUCG
rnacentral:rRNA from 1 species